GAUCAUGGCUCAGGAUGAACGCUAGCGGCAGGCUUAACACAUGCAAGUCGAGGGGUAGAGGAAGCUUGCUUCCUUGAGACCGGCGCACGGGUGCGUAACGCGUAUGCAAUCUACCUUAUACAGGGGGAUAGCCCAGAGAAUUUGGAUUAAUACCCCAUAGUAUAAUUGAAUGGCAUCAUUUGAUUAUUAAAGUUCCAACGGUAUAAGAUGAGCAUGCGUCCCAUUAGCUAGUUGGUGUGGUAACGGCACACCAAGGCGACGAUGGGUAGGGGUCCUGAGAGGGAGAUCCCCCACACUGGUACUGAGACACGGACCAGACUCCUACGGGAGGCAGCAGUGAGGAAUAUUGGUCAAUGGGCGCAAGCCUGAACCAGCCAUGCCGCGUGCAGGAUGACGGUCCUAUGGAUUGUAAACUGCUUUUGUACAGGAAGAAGCACUCCCUCGUGAGGGAGCUUGACGGUACUGUAAGAAUAAGGAUCGGCUAACUCCGUG
rnacentral:rRNA from 1 species